AAGCACCGGCUAACUCCGUGCCAGCAGCCGCGGUAAUACGGAGGGUGCAAGCGUUGUCCGGAAUCAUUGGGCGUAAAGCGUUCGUAGGCGGCACGUCAAGUUUGGUGUCAAAGCCCGGGGCUCAACUCCGGUUCGGCAUUGGAUACUGGCGAGCUAGAAUGCGGUAGAGGUGAAGGGAAUUCCUGGUGUAGCGGUGAAAUGCGUAGAUAUCAGGAGGAACAUCGGUGGCGUAAGCGCUUUACUGGGCCGUUAUUGACGCUGAGGAACGAAAGCUAGGGUAGCAAACGGGAUUAGAUACCCCGGUAGUCCUAGCUGUAAACGAUGGAUACUAGGUGUUGUGGGUAUCGACCCCCGCAGUGCCGUAGCUAACGUGAUAAGUAUCCCGCCUGGGGAGUACGCACGCAAGUGUGAAACUUAAAGGAAUUGACGGGGACCCGCACAAGCGGUGGAACAUGUGGUUUAAUUCGAAGCAACGCGAAGAACCUUACCAGGGCUUGACAUCUGAGGAACAUUCCUGAAAGGGAGUGGUGCUCUUCGGAGAACCUCAAGACAGGUGGUGCACGGUUGUCGUCAGCUCGUGUCGUGAGAUGUUGGGUUAAGUCCCGCAACGAGCGCAACCCUCGUCGUUAGUUGGUCAUAUCGGUAUACUGAUAUGUAUCUCUCUAGCGAGACUGCCGGUGAUAAACCGGAGGAAGGUGAGGACGACGUCAAAUCAUCAUGCCCCUUAUGUCCUGGGCUACACACGUGUUACAAUGGCUGGUACAACGAGCAGCAAACUCGCGAGGGUAAGCAAAUCUCUUAAACCCAGUCUCAGUUCGGAUUGCACUCUGCAACUCGAGUGCAUGAAGUCGGAAUCGCUAGUAAACGCAGAUCAGCACGCUGCGUUGAAUACGUUCCCGGGUCUUGUACACACCGCCCGUCACACCAUGGAAGUCGACCACGCCCGAAGUACGUGAGCUAACCAUUCGGAGGCAGCGUCCUAAGGCAGGGUUGGUAACUGGGGUGAAGUCGUAACAAGGUAGCCGUACCGGAAGGUGCGGCUG
rnacentral:rRNA from 1 species